rnacentral:lncRNA from 1 species
AUGCUUAAGUCUGAGAAUAUUGUCCCUACAAGGAAACACAUUCAGAAAAAUAAAUCUACUUUGAACCGACAUACCCAGAAGUUUUUAUCUAUAAAAAAUCAUUGUCAAAUACUACUUACAUUCUUUAGAAAAAAGUCUCUUUCUUUUACCCUGUCCACCUUCUGCACCUCCUCCAAUUUCUUCAUUUUCUUCCUCAAACUAUAAGUUAAAAUGUGUAUAUAGAUAUGUCAAGCACUGCUUUUGACUUUUUAAUAAUUAACAUUUUUUUUCCAUCUUCAACACUGAUAUCAUGCCAGAAAGCCUAAAUAAAGCAAGCAGCAAAACACCAUGAAACCUUAGCAUUUUAGGGGCCUUACAACUAUCCUGUCCAACUUCAGACUCACAUAGGAAUGGCUUCUACAAUGUCCCCAACAACUGUACUGCCUCUACUGGAACAGUUCCAACGACCAUACAUUCUUUUUUUUAACCAACAAAGUUGGCCUAUUUCUAGACAGUUUUACUAUUAAAAGAGUUGAUACUGAAUCAAAGUAAGCAAAACUAGUAUUUACUAAGCACUGCUUACAAAGUGCUAAGAACUUUCCUCAAGACUUAAGCCUAUUUUAUGACAUGAAAACCGAGGCUCAAAGUUAAAUAACUCUGCUCACAGAGAACAGAGGUUUUGAAACCCAUGCUCCCUGACUUUGAGUACAUUAUUUUUCCACUACUUUACAAUAAGUAUAUAGUUUUGUUAGCAGUUGAAUUGUUGGUUCAUAAUGAGAGCUAACAAAUACUAGCUUUGUCCUCUAAUGAUGCUCUAGGUGUUUCAAAGGGUGUCUGGCAAAUAUGGACCAAAAGCAAAGGGCAGGGGACCACCCUCCUACUCUUCCUGCCCCGUCCUACGAUUAAUCGGAAGAAAAAGCCUAGCACGGGGUGAAGUCUCCGAUUCUCUCGGCUGAAUUCACUAAGGAAAACAAACCCGAUUCUCGGCCUCCGCUACGGUGCCCUAGGGAGUGAAUAAAAAAGUGGGUUGAAACAGACGCCGUCACUCACGGUGGGGUCUUCCUCUUCAUCUGCCAUCCCAGCAGCCAGCCACCUACAGGCUGCGCCCGCCUCCCACGGAGCAGGUUUUACUACUUCCGCGGGCUCACUUCCGGUGACGCGAGGAGG